UCUGAGAGAGCUCGAUGGCAG
rnacentral:miRNA from 1 species